rnacentral:rRNA from 1 species
GAUGAACGCUGGCGGCGUGCUUAACACAUGCAAGUCGAACGAAGCACUUUAACCUGAUUCUUCGGAUGAAGGUUUUUGUGACUGAGUGGCGGGCGGGUGAGUAACGCGUGGGUAACCUGCCUCAUACAGGGGGAUAACAGUUAGAAAUGACUGCUAAUACCGCAUAAGACCACAGAGCCGCAUGGCUCGGUGGGAAAAACUCCGGUGGUAUGAGAUGGACCCGCGUCUGAUUAGGUAGUUGGUGGGGUAACGGCCUACCAAGCCAACGAUCAGUAGCCGACCUGAGAGGGUGACCGGCCACAGUGGGACUGAGACACGGCCCAAACUCCUACGGGAGGCAGCAGUGGGGAAUAUUGCACAAUGGGGGAAACCCUGAUGCAGCGACGCCGCGUGAGCGAAGAAGUAUUUCGGUAUGUAAAGCUCUAUCAGCAGGGAAGAAAAUGACGGUACCUGACUAAGAAGCACCGGCUAAAUACGUG